rnacentral:misc_RNA from 1 species
GACCUCUCAACCGCUUUGGUAUUCGAUUACAAAAGUCGGCUUGGAACUUGGGUGCCUCUGGCGAAACGCAAAAGUCUGUGCGGACCUGUCGCCCACCCCAAAAUCAGUUGGGCCAACCGCGCGGAUGAGCGGACGGUUUGACCACAGUGUUGUAAGGUUCGCCUCACUGUCGGGACGUCCAUUUCCGUUAGCAAUCAGGCAUUUGAAAUACGAUACUAUUGA